rnacentral:misc_RNA from 1 species
AUGACAUUAGACUUGAGCUUUAGCCUUCAACCCCUCAAGCAUAAAACUUUGGAUUCUUGUUUCUGUCCGGUCAAGAACACCAUGUUGUAUGAUUUUGCACUAAAACUAAAUCCAUUCUCCAAGCAAACUUAAUGAAAUUUAUCACGUACAAAGAUCUUCAAAACUUGAUUUUGCAGAUACCAGUAAGCUUUAACAUCCUCUUCAGAGGAAAUUUCAUGUAUCAGGACAGUCCCAGAUGUCUCGUGGCUGUAAUAGAGAAGAAGAAACGACUUGAUAAAUGUUCCAUUUAACUCUUACCAUGCAUGGCAAUAUCUGCAGUAAGCGCCCAUAAGAAUCCAAUUCUAUGCAAAUAAAUCUGUCACCAGUCAUGUAUUCCAUUGGAUUGAAUUUCAACCCUUCUUGAUUCUUACCUAAAUCAUGGAAAUAUAUUGAUGACAUAAAUAGGUUAUAAAGGUGUCUGUCUUCAAUGAACUUUUGCUGACCUUAUUCCAGAAAAUAGGUCUCCCAACAUAUGUAUGUCUUUUCAUUCAAAAUAAAUACAGUUGAAAUUACAAUUUUAAUGAACCUGUAUUCUUUUUCACUAGAUGCAACCAAAAUCUAAUAGAAAUAAAAGAAAAGAAAACUUUAAAAAAGGUAUCACAAGCUUUUCCAUCUUGCACCAGAAUUCACAAGUUUGAUAUACGCAUUCUUGAAAUCAUCGAAGAAAAUAUCUUGAUCAUCAGCAUACUUUUUGAUCCAUCUGAACCAAAUAUGAGUUUUCUUUCAGUUAAGCAACUAGAACAAACAUUAACCAAUAUUUAUGCUAUAAUGUCAUGAAUUCUUUUUCAGACAAGCAUGUAGAGAAAAGAAAAACUAAGCCUAACAUUUGAAAAGAAUACAUAUGCUAAAUUGAAAAAAGAAUGCAAGAAACCAGAUGACAAGUUAUGACAAUAUGAUUAGUUCUAAGGGGACAGAACCCAUAAAAAAUGUGGAUUCAGCCAUUUUUCUUUGGCUGUUUAGAUAAUUCGGAGCAAAGAAGUCACAAAAUCCUUGAUGGAAACAUUAGCACAUGUAUUCAAUAACUAAUUUAUAACUUAAAGCUGGAAAUGAAGAACUAAGGAAAUAAGAAGCAUUUUCAGAAUCUAAUUGAUUGGACCAGAAAGAAAUACAUGAUAAAAGUUAUGAAAUUUGCACCCUCAAAUUAUGGCAUGCAUGCUCAUUGUUAAGCUUUCGUAAGAUAUUUGUACAGUUAUCGUAUUGUACUGCUAAAUGCACGGUUGUUAAAAUUUCGAACUAUUUUUGUGUAACACCAACAUAAAAUCAUAUAUGGUCGACUGAUUCGUUAAUGGUGGAGUUCAUGAGUGCUUAGCACAACAAUGAGAAUACAGACAACAUAUUUGUUAGGGAGGUUUCAGAAGAUGGCCAACCUUAAGCAUUCAUCGUCCUCAACAAGUGCACGAUCUGAAGGAAGUCCAAUCAUGCUUGACAUUCCAGCUGAAGACAUCCAUGGCUUUUCCAAAAGAAUUUUAUAGUAUGAAUUGUCAAAAACAGUUGGAUUUCCAAAGCCUUUACUCCCAAUAGUAUGAGCUCCAGACAAUGCAACAAGUUCUCGUGUUGACAAGCCUUUUCUUUGAAAACAUUGCUUCAAACUAGAAGCACCCAGAGACUCUUCAGGAAGUUUGCCUUCAGCAUCAGGCUCCGCUGAAUCUAGUCUUCCCAAUAUUACUGGGAUUGUUGGACCUCCACAAACUGAAACGGCUUCAGCUCCAGCGACAGCAAUCAUAUCUGCCCAGGAUACUGAUUGUUUUGCAUCCACUUCAAUCUUUGCCUUCUCAAGAAUCUUCAAAGAUUUCUUUAGACCUGCAUUUUCAGGUCUAUCAAGUUCAAAAACUAUAGAACCAUUCAUACCCCCUGAAUUCCCAACCGUUUCAAAGGUUCCGGCAUCAUGAAAAACAAGACGAAGUACGCCAGCGGCCUUGCCUUUGGACACCACCUUCCUUACUUCUUCCUUCAUAAGCACAUAUGUAGUCGUAUCCAACUCGGCUGCCUCAGCACUAAAGCCCUCUAAGGAUUCACGCAAAUGAUACAGAAAAGGUAGUGUGGAUACACAGAUAAGGAUUCUCCUCCUAUUACAAACCCAGUCAAGAUUCUCGCCUGUAGACCCGAAAAACAAAUUAGAAAAACGAUUCUUCUCCUCUUCUUCUUUUUUUCCCUUUUGCUUCGUUUUCCCAGCAAUCAAACACACCGUGAUAAAGGGAUAGUGUAGUUUACCAGAAUCAUCAUCGCCAGUGGCUGGAAUAAGGCAAGCUUGGAGAGGUUUGGCUCUAAAUUUGACCGUUGAGAGAUAAGACCGUUGUGAUUUAGAGGGAAAUUUGAAUUCGAGAUGGGAAGAGGAGGGAGUGGAGCAGAGAAGAGAAGCUUUCGCAUGGAUUACGGUUAAAGAUGCCAUCUUUAAUGGACGGUUGAGAAAGCCUCUGGCGUGCUCUGUGCAAAAGAGGCUUUAACUGCUCG